rnacentral:rRNA from 1 species
GCCUACGGGACGCAGCAGUAGGGAAUUUUCGUCAAUGGGCGCAAGCCUGAACGAGCAAUGCCGCGUGAACGAGGAAGGUCUUCGGAUCGUAAAGUUCUGUUGAAGGGGAAAAAGAGCGGAGAGAGGAAAUGCUUUCUGAUUGAUAUUACCCUUCGAGGAAGUCACGGCUAACUACGUGCCAGCAGCCGCGGUAAUACGUAGGUGGCGAGCGUUAUCCGGAAUGAUUGGGCGUGAAGGGUGCGUAGGCGGCCUGCUAAGUCUGGAGUGAAAGGUACCGGCUCAACCGGUACAGGCUCUGGAAACUG